CGCCAUGGAGAGGCAUGAACCAUUGUAUAAAUUCACCUCUUCCACCCUUUUGUAUCUAUUUUAAGUAUUUGAGUAAUGAAAUGUUGUAGAGAUCACUCCAACACGCAUUCUUCUCAUUGUCACCGACCAGAGAGAGAUCUCAACCUCCUAUAGCCACCCUUCCUUAGUUAGGACUCCUACCUAGGCUUCGAAAAUCACUACCACACACCAAACACUUUCACGGAGAAUCCUUCUUCACUUCAAAUGAACUAUU
rnacentral:lncRNA from 1 species